rnacentral:rRNA from 1 species
CCUACGGGUGGCAGCAGUGAGGAAUAUUGGUCAAUGGGCGCGAGCCUGAACCAGCCAAGUAGCGUGAAGGAUGACUGCCCUACGGGUUGUAAACUUCUUUUAUAAAGGAAUAAAGUGAGGCUCGUGAGCCUCUUUGUAUGUACUUUAUGAGUAAGGAUCGGAUAACUCCGUGCCAGCAGCCGCGGUAAUACGGAGGAGCCGAGCGUUAUCCGGAUUUAUUGGGUUUAAAGGGAGCGUAGAUGGGUUGUUAAGUCAGUUGUGAAAGUUUGCGGCGUAACCGUAAAAUUGCAAUUGAUACUGGCAGUCUUGAGUACAGUUGAGGUAGGCGGAAUUCGUGGUGUAGCGGUGAAAUGCGUAGAUAUCACGAAGAACUCCGAUGGCGAAGGCAGCUUACUAAACUGCAACUGACAUUGAUGCUCGAAAGUGUGGGUAUCAAACAGGAUUAGAUACCCGUGUAGUC